CUGAAGCCACCUAAGCUGCCAAGCAAUAUACUUAAGAUCUUCUCAGUGGAGAAGAGACUGAAUGCAUGAGAAGAGGCUGGGUGGAGGGAGGUCUAACCUAGAUUUGGAGAAAACUGGGAUGAUCAAGGCCAGCUGAGAGGUUGCCGUAUCAAGACCUGGGACUAAAUUGUUCUCUCUCUGAUUUCUUCAUGCUCACCCCAUGUGUAUGUGUCUAUGUCUGUGUUUGUAUGUCUCUGUGUGUGCACAUGUAUGUGAGUUCAUGAUGGCCAGAAAACAACACUGUGUGUCAUCUUCAGGAAUGCUGAUGUUCACCUCCUUUGAGACAGGCUCUCUCAUUAGCCUGGAACUCACCAGCUGGUCCAGGUGAUACCUGGUCAAUGAGCCCCAGGUUCUGGGAUUACAAACAUAUGGCGCCAUGCCUGAAAUAGUUUGUUUUCUUUUAUCUCACAUAUUUGAAUGUUUUGUUUUCAUGUUUGUAUGUGCACCAUGCCUUAAGUGUCCACAAAGACCAGAAGAGGGCCUCAGAUCCCCUGGAACCAGAUUUACAGGCCGUUGGGAGACACCAUGUGCUGGGAACUGAACCCGGCUCCUCUGAAAAGGCAGUAAGUGCUUUUAACCACUAAGCCGUCUCUUUAGUCCUUAUGUCUAGUAUUGUUAUGUGGGUUCUAGGGAUCACACUUGGAUCCUCGUACUGGCAAGAUAAGCACUUCACCAACUGGGAUGACUCCUCGCCCUGGACUGGCCGCACGUGAGAUGAGAAGCCUAGAGUGGAUGGUAUCUGGACUUGACCACAAAGAUACAAACAGGGUUGUUCCUGGACACACUGUGAGCAUUUGUUUCCCACACCUGUCCCAUGCAGACAUCAUCAGCUCCACACCUGUUCCAUGCAGACAUCAGCUGGGAUCCUGGGUCCCAGAAUGCUGCAGAUCUGGUCUCACUGGGACAUCUUUGUACAUGUUACCUUGGAGGCUGUGCAGACUCCAGGCAUCCGAAGAAGGACGGUGAAGGACUGGGAUAAGGACACCUAUGACCUAUGACUUCAGAGCUCAGUUCUGGAAUCCAGGGAAUCCCCUCCGCACUGGUGCGCCCGUCUCCUCUUAUCUACAACCAGACCCCGAAGAGCCAAGGACCAGUCCUAUUAAUCAAUUGUCUGCUGUCUGAGCUAAGAGCAGGGCUGCCUGGGCUGAUAAACUGCAGGGGGAGGGGGAAAGGACAUGGACUCAAGACAUGCUUCUUUUAUCUGGAGCUGCACCUCAUAAUUGCUGUGAAUCACCACAGUGUGUGCAUCUUGGGGCACAGCCCCAUCUGACCUGCACCUUCUCGUGCAUAUAAAUCAUAUCCACUCCAGGCUGCUUCUAGCUGCUCACAUCCCACAGAGGGCGGCACACCUGUGGAGAUGUUCCACUCCCCCCCCCCCAGCACCCCUGUCCUGUGCUUUAACAGUCAGUCAGGCAAUGCUCUGUGCAUACCACACUGGUCUAGGCUGAGGGUGUGUGAUUCUUGAGGUGAGCCUGGUACAGAGAGAAUGGCCUUAGGAGGUUCCUAAGGUCAGACAGACCCACUAUCUGUUGGAGUUGGUUGGUUUGAUCCGAG
rnacentral:lncRNA from 1 species